rnacentral:rRNA from 1 species
UGCAGUCGAACGGAACAUGUCUAGCUUGCUAGAUGAUGUCGAGUGGCGGACGGGUGAGUAAUGCUUGGGAACUUGCCUUUGCGAGGGGGAUAACAGUUGGAAACGACUGCUAAUACCGCAUAAUGUCUUCGGACCAAACGGGGCUUCGGCUCCGGCGCAAAGAGAGGCCCAAGUGAGAUUAGCUAGUUGGUGAGGUAAAGGCUCACCAAGGCAACGAUCUCUAGCUGUUCUGAGAGGAAGAUCAGCCACACUGGGACUGAGACACGGCCCAGACUCCUACGGGAGGCAGCAGUGGGGAAUAUUGCACAAUGGGGGAAACCCUGAUGCAGCCAUGCCGCGUGUGUGAAGAAGGCCUUCGGGUUGUAAAGCACUUUCAGUUGUGAGGAAAAGUUAGUAGUUAAUACCUGCUAGCCGUGACGUUAACAACAGAAGAAGCACCGGCUAACUCCGUGCCAGCAGCCGCGGUAAUACGGAGGGUGCGAGCGUUAAUCGGAAUUACUGGGCGUAAAGCGCACGCAGGCGGUUUGUUAAGCUAGAUGUGAAAGCCCCGGGCUCAACCUGGGACGGUCAUUUAGAACUGGCAGACUAGAGUCUUGGAGAGGGGAGUGGAAUUCCAGGUGUAGCGGUGAAAUGCGUAGAUAUCUGGAGGAACAUCAGUGGCGAAGGCGACUCCCUGGCCAAAGACUGACGCUCAUGUGCGAAAGUGUGGGUAGCGAACAGGAUUAGAUACCCUGGUAGUCCACACCGUA